ACCCUCGGUAGUUCUUUGUUCAGAACUAUACCGGUUUUCAAGACCGGAGCUAUCAACCACUCGGCCAUCUCUCC
rnacentral:tRNA from 1 species